rnacentral:rRNA from 1 species
AAUGAACGCUGGCGGCAGGCCUAACACAUGCAAGUCGAGCGAGAACCAGGGCUUCGGCCCUGGGGACAGCGGCGAACGGGUGAGUAACACGUGGGUAAUCUGCCCUCGGCACCGGAAUAGCCCGGGGAAACCCGGAUUAAUGCCGGAUGGCCCCUUCACCUCGCGAGGCGUCGGGAAAAGGUAGCUUCGGCCUCUGGCCGAGGAUGAGCCGGCGGCGGAUUAGCUUGUUGGCGGGGUAGCGGCCCACCAAGGCGACGAUCCGUAGCUGGUCUGAGAGGACGAUCAGCCACACUGGGACUGAGACACGGCCCAGACUCCUACGGGAGGCAGCAGUGGGGAAUCUUGCGCAAUGGGCGAAAGCCUGACGCAGCGACGCCGCGUGAGGGAAGAAGGCCUUCGGGUUGUAAACCUCUUUCAGGAGGGACGAAGCUACUCGGGUGAAUAGCCCAGAGGGUGACGGUACCUCCAGAAGAAGCCCCGGCUAACUACGUGCCAGCCGCCGCAGUAACAC